AUGUACAUUCCUACAACAUAUAAUUAAUGCAACGGAUCCCAUUAGAACUCCGCAGUUAAGCGUGCUCGAGCUAGAGUAAUACUAGGAUGGGUGACUGCCCGGGAAGUCUUAGUAUUUUACAUG
rnacentral:rRNA from 1 species